AACUUAAUGAGACUUCAUCUAAUAAGCGAGUGCUUCUUAGUCAGUUCUGAGCCACAGUGUAGGAAGAUACCAAGAAACAAGAAUAUUGUUUUGGGCCAACGCUACGAUGCUGAGAUCUCUGAUCAUAAUCUCUUUGCUUGGCGCUAUUGCAACUUCCCCUGAGCCACAAGACAAGGAAUACAACUCAAAGGCCGUUCUCAGAUAUGUGUUGAAAUACGCACUGGGUGGAAUUAGCUCUGAGAGUGACAGCGUGACGAGAUCAGAGUCAUGUGACAAGCCAGAGGCACCUUCCUGUGAUGAUUAUUUUGAAAGCGCAGCCCCAACUUGUUUUGGA
rnacentral:lncRNA from 1 species